GAAGCAACGCGAAGAACCUUACCAGGUCUUGACAUCCUUUGACCACUCUAGAGAUAGAGCUUCCCCUUCGGGGGCAAAGUGACAGGUGGUGCAUGGUUGUCGUCAGCUCGUGUCGUGAGAUGUUGGGUUAAGUCCCGCAACGAGCGCAACCCUUAUUGUUAGUUGCCAUCAUUCAGUUGGGCACUCUAGCAAGACUGCCGGUGACAAACCGGAGGAAGGUGGGGAUGACGUCAAAUCAUCAUGCCCCUUAUGACCUGGGCUACACACGUGCUACAAUGGGAAGUACAACGAGUUGCGAAGUCGCGAGGCUAAGCUA
rnacentral:rRNA from 1 species